rnacentral:lncRNA from 1 species
CGCGGGGGAGGACGGCGAUUUCGUCCCCAGCCUCACGAGGUCGGGAAGGGGUUCCCGCACCCACAUUUGUGAACCUCGCCGCCGCCCGUCCCCUGCCUUCACGAACCCGCCGCCGCCCGUCCCCUACUCUUCCUCGUGCACCCACCGUCGCUCGUCCCCUCGUCUUCCUUGCGCACUCGCCGUCGCCUCCUCCUCGCCCUCACGCACUUGAGGCCAGCUGCAGAACGAGGUCGGACGGCGGAGACGAGGUCGAGGUCU